ACUGAGACACGGACCAGACUCCUACGGGAGGCAGCAGUGAGGAAUAUUGGUCAAUGGCCGCAGGGCUGAACCAGCCAAGUCGCGUGAGGGAUGACGGUCCUAUGGAUUGUAAACCUCUUUUGUCAGGGAGCAAAGGGCGCCACGUGUGGCGUUUUGCGAGUACCUGAAGAAAAAGCAUCGGCUAACUCCGUGCCAGCAGCCGCGGUAAUACGGAGGAUGCGAGCGUUAUCCGGAUUUAUUGGGUUUAAAGGGUGCGCAGGCGGAAUGUCAAGUCAGCGGUAAAAUUUCGGGGCUCAACCCCGUCGUGCCGUUGAAACUGGCGUUCUUGAGUGAGCGAGAAGUAUGCGGAAUGCGUGGUGUAGCGGUGAAAUGCAUAGAUAUCACGCAGAACUCCGAUUGCGAAGGCAGCAUACCGGCGCUCAACUGACGCUCAUGC
rnacentral:rRNA from 1 species